UACGAACUGUGCGAACGUUAUUCGGAAUCACUGGGCUUACAGGGUGCGUAGGCGGCUCGUUAAGCAGGGUGUGAAAUCCUCCGGCUCAACCGGGGAACGGCGCUCUGGACUGGCGGGCUUGAGUGUGCUAGGGGUGUGUGGAACUUCCAGUGGAGCGGUGAAAUGUGUUGAUAUUGGAAGGAACACCGGUGGCGAAAGCGACACACUGGGGCAUAACUGACGCUGAGGCACGAAAGCCAGGGGAGCGAACGGG
rnacentral:rRNA from 1 species